rnacentral:rRNA from 1 species
UACGAAGGGGGCUAGCGUUGCUCGGAAUUACUGGGCGUAAAGGGCGCGUAGGCGGAUAGUUUAGUCAGAGGUGAAAGCCCUGGGCUCAACCUGGGAAUGGCAUUGGAAACUGGCGACCUAGAGUGCGGUAGAGGGUAGUGGAAUUCCCGGUGUAGCAGUGAAAUGCGUAGAGAUCGGGAGGAACAUCUGUGGCGAAGGCGACUGCCUGGACCAGCACUGACACUGAGGCACGAAAGCGUGGGGAGCAAACAGG